rnacentral:rRNA from 1 species
AUUGAACGCUAGCGGCAGGCCUAACACAUGCAAGUCGAGCGGAUGACGGGAGCUUGCUCCCGGAUUCAGCGGCGGACGGGUGAGUAAUGCCUAGGAAUCUGCCUGGUAGUGGGGGACAACGCUUCGAAAGGAACGCUAAUACCGCAUACGUCCUACGGGAGAAAGCAGGGGACCUUCGGGCCUUGCGCUAUCAGAUGAGCCUAGGUCGGAUUAGCUAGUUGGUGAGGUAAUGGCUCACCAAGGCGACGAUCCGUAACUGGUCUGAGGGGAUGAUCAGUCACACUGGAACUGAGACACGGUCCAGACUCCUACGGGAGGCAGCAGUGGGGAAUAUUGGACAAUGGGCGAAAGCCUGAUCCAGCCAUGCCGCGUGUGUGAAGAAGGUCUUCGGAUUGUAAAGCACUUUAAGUUGGGAGGAAGGGCAGUAAGCGAAUACCUUGCUGUUUUGACGUUACCGACAGAAUAAGCACCGGCUAACUCUGUGCCAGCCGCCGCAGUAAAAC